AUUGAACGCUGGCGGCAGGCCUAACACAUGCAAGUCGAGCGGACGAAGGGAGCUUGCUCCUGGAUUCAGCGGCGGACGGGUGAGUAAUGCCUAGGAAUCUGCCUGGUAGUGGGGGAUAACGUCCGGAAACGGGCGCUAAUACCGCACACGUCCUGAGGGAGAAAGCGUGGGAUCUUCGGACCUCACGCUAUUAGAUUAGCCUAGGUCGGAUUAGCUAGUUGGUGGGGUAAAGGCCUACCAAGGCGACGAUCCGUAACUGGUCUGAGAGGAUGAUCAGUCACACUGGAACUGAGACACGGUCCAGACUCCUACGGGAGGCAGCAGUAGGGAAUAUUGGACAAUGGGCGAAAGCCUGAUGCAGCCAUGCCGCGUGUGUGAAGAAGGUCUUCGGAUUGUAAAGCACUUUAAGUUGGGAGGAAGGACAGUAAGUUAAUACCUUGCUGUUUUGACGUUACCAACAGAAUAAGCACCGGCUAACUUCGUG
rnacentral:rRNA from 1 species